UUACGGCCAUAUCACAUUGAAACACCGGUUCUCGUACGAAGUUAAGCAACGUCGAGCCGGGCCAGUACCUAGAUGGAUGAUCUCUUGGGAAAACCAGGUGCUGUAAG